rnacentral:rRNA from 1 species
CGAAGGGGCAAGCGUUGUUCGGAAUCAUUGGGCGUAAAGGGCGUGUAGGUGGGUUCUGUAUGUCUACCGUGAAAAGCGUACGGCUCAACCGUAUUUAGUCGGUAGAAACUGCAGGACUUGAGGCUGGGAGGGGCUGGUGGAAUUCCCCGUGUAGCGGUGAAAUGCGUAGAGAUGGGGGGAGAACACUCGUGGCGAAGGCGGCCAGCUAGACCAGUUCUGACACUGAGGCGCGAUAGCGUGGGGAGCAAACAGGAUUAGAUACCCUGGUAGUCCACGCUGUAAACGAUGGGCACUAGGUGCUGGCGGUCUUGAUCCCGUCGGUGCCGGCGCUAACGCAGUAAGUGCCCCGCCUGGGGAGUACGGUCGCAAGGCUG